CAGCGACGCCGCGUGAGGGAUGACGGCCUUCGGGUUGUAAACCUCUUUCAGCAGGGAAGAAGCCACAAGUGACGGUACCUGCAGAAGAAGCGCCGGCUAACUACGUGCCAGCAGCCGCGGUAAUACGUAGGGCGCAAGCGUUGUCCGGAAUUAUUGGGCGUAAAGAGCUCGUAGGCGGUUUGUCGCGUCUGCUGUGAAAGCCCGGGGCUCAACCCCGGGUCUGCAGUGGGUACGGGCAGACUAGAGUGCAGUAGGGGAGACUGGAAUUCCUGGUGUAGCGGUGAAAUGCGCAGAUAUCAGGAGGAACACCGAUGGCGAAGGCAGGUCUCUGGGCUGUUACUGACGCUGAGGAGCGAAAGCAUGGGGAGCGAACAGGAUUAGAUACCCUGGUAGUCCAUGCCGUAAACGUUGGGCACUAGGUGUGGGGGACAUUCCACGUUCUCCGCGCCGUAGCUAACGCAUUAAGUGCCCCGCCUGGG
rnacentral:rRNA from 1 species